rnacentral:rRNA from 1 species
AUUGAACGCUGGCGGCAGGCUUAACACAUGCAAGUCGAGCGGAGAUGAGGUGCUUGCACCUUAUCUUAGCGGCGGACGGGUGAGUAAUGCUUAGGAAUCUGCCUAUUAGUGGGGGACAACAUUCCGAAAGGAAUGCUAAUACCGCAUACGCCCUACGGGGGAAAGCAGGGGAUCUUCGGACCUUGCGCUAAUGGAUGAGCCUAAGUCGGAUUAGCUAGUUGGUGGGGUAAAGGCCUACCAAGGCGACGAUCUGUAGCGGGUCUGAGAGGAUGGUCCGCCACACUGGGACUGAGACACGGCCCAGACUCCUACGGGAGGCAGCAGUGGGGAAUAUUGGACAAUGGGCGGAAGCCUGAUCCAGCCAUGCCGCGUGUGUGAAGAAGGCCUUUUGGUUGUAAAGCACUUUAAGCGAGGAGGAGGCUACCUGGAUUAAUACUCUAGGAUAGUGGACGUUACUCGCAGAAUAAGCACCGGCUAACUCUGUGCCAGCCGCCGCAGUAACAC